UUGCACAUGGCACAUGGCUUAGGUUUUACAUUUAAUUUUUGUUUUCUUUUCAUUAGAAAGUAGCUUACCUUUUACGUCCAAGAUGGCCUAUAAAUAGGAAGGCUAUCUCAUUGUAUUUUUCAAGUUUAAUUGAGUAUUGUUAUGCUGCCAAUUUUGUGCACUAGCUUUACUUCUCCUAGAAAUCUAGGCUAUAAACUUCAAUCCUUCACCUUUCUCCCUUGAGCUGGCCAAACCUCUCAAACCCAUACUCAUCAUGCACCUUCAAAGCCAACACAACUCCUAGGAGGGCUUUGUUUCACUCACCCAUUGCUUCCGCAUCAUUUUUCACUACUUUGAUUCAA
rnacentral:lncRNA from 1 species